rnacentral:rRNA from 1 species
UACGAAGGGGGCUAGCGUUGCUCGGAAUCACUGGGCGGAAAGGGCGCGUAGGCGGAUCUUUAAGUCAGGGGUGAAAGCCCAAGGCUCAACCUUGGAAUUGCCUUUGAUACUGAGGAUCUCGAGACCGGAAGAGGUAAGUGGAACUGCGAGUGUAGAGGUGAAAUUCGUAGAUAUUCGCAAGAACACCAGUGGCGAAGGCGGCUUACUGGUCCGGUUCUGACGCUGAGGCGCGAAAGCGUGGGGAGCAAACAGG